rnacentral:rRNA from 1 species
AGCUAACGCGUUAAAUCGACCGCCUGGGGAGUACGGCCGCAAGGUUAAAACUCAAAUGAAUUGACGGGGGCCCGCACAAGCGGUGGAGCAUGUGGUUUAAUUCGAUGCAACGCGAAGAACCUUACCUGGUCUUGACAUCCACAGAACUUUCCAGAGAUGGAUUGGUGCCUUCGGGAACUGUGAGACAGGUGCUGCAUGGCUGUCGUCAGCUCGUGUUGUGAAAUGUUGGGUUAAGUCCCGCAACGAGCGCAACCCUUAUCCUUUGUUGCCAGCGGUCCGGCCGGGAACUCAAAGGAGACUGCCAGUGAUAAACUGGAGGAAGGUGGGGAUGACGUCAAGUCAUCAUGGCCCUUACGACCAGGGCUACACACGUGCUACAAUGGCAUAUACAAAGAGAAGCGACCUCGCGAGAGCAAGCGGACCUCAUAAAGUAUGUCGUAGUCCGGAUUGGAGUCUGCAACUCGACUCCAUGAAGUCGGAAUCGCUAGUAAUCGUAGAUCAGAAUGCUACGGUGAAUACGUUCCCGGGCCUUGUACACACCGCCCGUCACACCAUGGGAGUGGGUUGCAAAAGAAGUAGGUAGCUUAACCUUCGGGAGGGCGCUUACCACUUUGUGAUUCAUGACUGGGGUGAAGUCGUAACAAGGUAACCGUAGGGGAACCUGCGGUUGGAUCACCUCCUUA